AUUAAGGUGAGCACAUUUCUAUAGCCUGGUCAUCACUACGCGUUUAAACGAUUUAGCAGCGUUAAACAGAUUUUAACGCCUGUACCCGUCCACCACAACGAGGCCCUUAUAUCGAUAUAAAA